UACGAAGGGGGCUAGCGUUGCUCGGAAUCACUGGGCGUAAAGCGCACGUAGGCGGAUCUUUAAGUCAGGGGUGAAAUCCUGAAGCUCAACUCCAGAACUGCCUUUGAUACUGGGGAUCUCGAGUCCGGGAGAGGUGAGUGGAACUGCGAGUGUAGAGGUGAAAUUCGUAGAUAUUCGCAAGAACACCAGUGGCGAAGGCGACUGCCUGGCCUGUUCUUGACGCUGAGGCGCGAAAGCUAGGGGAGCAAACGGG
rnacentral:rRNA from 1 species